rnacentral:hammerhead_ribozyme from 1 species
UGGCGAAACGUGACCCCUCCGGCCUCAUGCCGGCUGAGGGGGAACGUCGUCGCGGGGUGGUGCCCGCGGCCUGACGAUGCCAGCCGCGU